GUCCCAAUGGCCCCAAUGUGGUCCUAAUUCCAGACGAGAGGGAGAGAGGUAUGCCUUGACAUCUUCCUCAUCUCAUGUCUUCCAUCUCCCUCCCUCCACCAGCCGUAGAUCUUUAAUACCUUUCCCUCCUGCCUCCCAUCCCCGCACGGAGAAGGGAUUAAAUAAAAAGUGCAUUAGUGCAUUCUUCUCAUGGCUAAGACCUUGUUCUCCGAUGGUUUGUUUUCUUGCAGCCGGUUCGAUAUAAACAGCAAAACCCUGUUCCAGUCCAUUUACCUCCUGCCACGGGAUGCCAGGAAGGAGCGAUCUUCACAGCGGAGGCAUCACAAAGAAGUGCGGGUUCAGGGCUGUUUGUGAGGAAAUUAUAGCCUGGGGUGCAAUUCAAAAGACAUUCCUCUACUUCUGGAAUGAAUCGGGGCCCAUCUUCCCCAUUGUGAUGCCUUAUCUUUAUUUGCAUUUCAAUCGAUUCCUCUCCUCGUUUUCUGCAUCGGGACGAACUGGCUGAACCCUCUCCUUUCCUUCGCAAUGACGUCUACCUCGCCAACUAUCAGUUGCAGAGCAUAUGCUUUGGAAAGGCGUUACGUUUUGGAAUCCUUGCAGGAGGUUUUAAAUUUGCUCAGUAAGUCAUAUUUUGUAUCUAUAUAUGUUUAUUUGGCUCAACGGACAUUUAAACAGAUAUUUUACACGCCUCUUGGAGCCAGGUAGAUGUGCCACAGAGUUGAUAUUGUUAUUAUUGUUAUUAUUUUUAGUGUCUAUGUCUUGCCCUGAAGAAGGCCGUUAAAUAUUACUAGGCCAAAAAAUGCAGUAAUUGUAAGCCCUGGGACUCUUGAGUGCAUCUGCUCUGUAGAAUUAAUUCAGUUUGGCAUUAUUUUAAUGGCCAUGGCUCAAUACAAUGGAAUCCCAGUGUAGUGGUUAGCUGGGACCACGGAUGAGAAGAGCCGUGCCUGGUGGGUGUAUGCUAAACCAAAAGGGAGAAUAGAAUGAAAUUCCAGUGUAGUGGUUAGCUAGUACCGCGGAUGAGAGAGAGUAGAACAGGACCCAAUGGAUUAAAAUUGCAAGAAAAGAGAUGCCACCUAAAGUUCUGGAGAACAUCCCAUUCAGAACGGAAGCUUCAGAAAGUGGUGGACUCUCCUUUGUUUUGUGAUCAGACUCAUCCUGGGUUCUUUAGAUACUGUACACAAUUUCUGGUCCUUUCUAACCCCAUGGAUCUCUUACUCUGUGAGAUACGUUGAUCACUAGCCUGAUAGAUUUCCAUAGCCCUCCUUCCGACCUCACAAGGUUAGGAAGCCAACUCCUCUGAGAGUGGUGUAUGUUAGAUUGUAGAAGACAUGAUAGAGCCAUUUUGAAAAUAUAUAUGAAGUUGGAGAAAGAGUAGAACAGGACUCAAUUGAUGGAAAUGGCAAGAAAAGAGAUGCCACCUAAAGUUCUGGAGAACAUCCCAUUCAGAACGGAAAGCUUCUGAAAGUGGUGGAUUCUGCUUUGGUUUGUGGUCAGACUUAUCCUGGGUUCUUUAGAUACUGUACUAUUUCUGGUCCUUUCCAACCCUAUGGAUCUCUUAUUCUGUGAGAUACGUUGAUCACUAGCCUGAUAGAUUUCCAUAACCCUCCUUCCGACCUCACAAGGUUAGGAAGCCAACUCCCCUGAGAGUGGUGUAUGUUUUGACUGUCAAAGACAUGGUAGAGCCAUUUUGAAAAUAUAUUUGAAGUUGGAGAGAGAGUAGAACAGGAGUUGAUGGAUUGAAAUGGCAAGAAAAGAGAUGCCACCUAAAGUUCUGGAGAACAUCCCAUUCAGAACAGAAAGCUUCUGAAAGUGGUGGACUCUCCUUUGUUUUGUGGUUAGACUUAUCCUGCAGUCUUUAGAUACAGGGUCCUUUCUAACCCUGUGAAUCUCUUACUCGGUGAGAUACGUUGAUCACUAGCCUAAUAGAUUUCCAUAGCCCUCCUUCUGACCUCACAAGGUCAGGAAGCCAACUCCUCUGAGAGUGGUGUAUGUUUUGACUGUCGAAGACAUGGUAGAGCCAUUUUGAAAUAUAUAUGAAGUUGGAGAGAGAGUAGAACAGGACUCAACUGAUGGAAAUGGCAAGAAAAGAGGUGCCACCUAAAGUUCUGGAGAACGUCCCAUUCAGAACGGAAGCUUCUGAAAGUGGUGGACUUCCCUUUGUUUGCUGUCUUUGAAGAGAAGUCGGACUUAUCCUGCAUUCUUUAGAUACUGUACUAUUUCUGGUCCUUUCCAACCCUAUGGAUCUCUUACUCUGUGAGAUACGUUGAUCACUAGGAUGAUAGAUUUCCAUAGCCCUCCUUCCGACCUCACAUUCUGGAGACAUUUAAUAAAGUUAAACCCAAAGAUCUGGGUGACCAAUAAAGAAAUUAUGGCUCUUCCUUAUCCCCUUUAGUUCAGCUUAACUCCAUCGCACUAAAUUUGCAAUAACGGCCCCAGGGGAGAGUUACACGAUGAAGUUACAUUUGCUGGAGCCUUUUGCCCGGUCCGUGAGCGAUGGCUCGAGAGAGAGAGUUCAUCCACUUCUCGCCGGAUCAAUAAACGGCUGUCAGCCUCGGCAGAAGGAUGAAAUAUUUAUUUCACCGUAUUGUGUUUUGACUGGGACAACAUGCAAAAGGCUCCAGAGAGGCUCCUGAAAUAUUCAUUGACUUGGGCAAACACGAGUGGAACAUCAAGCUGGUCAUCUCAGCUACAUUGCGUGGCUUUGGUUGUCCCGGAAAACUUCCCAGAAUCCCUCAUUAUUUGUACAAAGCUGCCCAUCGUAUAAACCCGAAACUGGAAUAAGUCCGCAAAGUUAGACCCAUUGCAUCGAUUAUGGGAAGAUGACUCAAUGUGUACAUAAAAGCCAUUAUUCGUCUGAGUUUGGAUGCUCAUAAUUGGAUUCAAACCUAUCUAUCUAUUUUCUCGGGCUUUGAAACCGCCCAGGGGCCCAUAAAUGCAACAAAUUACUUUUAAAUGUCACUUUCCAAGCUUUUGGAAAGGUUAGGAUUUCUCGAUGUCAGAGGCUGGAGCUCGGUGGUAUCUAAUUCGUCCCCCUCUUUUACUCUCUCUUUUUUCUUGUGUGUGUAUUAUUUCGAAACUUUAAUAGAAGACGUUUGGGUCAAUGCUCGAGGGAGGUGAGUGCCUCCGGAAGUAGGAAAGCCUGGCUUUGAAGACAGGAAAAUUGGAAAUAAUGGAGGAGGAAAGUGUGGGUGCUGCUCAAUGGGUUGCUGAUAUUCGUUGCUUUCACAACCGAGCCAUGAGCCACAUUCUACGUUGGAGCUCUCCAUUUAUCGUUCUAGAAUAAUAAUAACAUUUUAUUUAUAUUUAUUUAUUUAUUUGCUACAUUUAUAUGCCGUCCUUCUCACCCCGAAGGGGACUCAGAGCGGCUAACAAAUUAAAUUUACAUACAAUAUUAUAUUAGUACUAGCUAUGCCCGGCCACGCGUUGCUGUGGCAAAGUGGUGGUGGUAUUGGUUAAAAGUUGUUGUGGAAUUUUUAUUUGACGUUGUUUGUAUUUUUUAAUUAAUUUUAUUGUAACUUAUCUUUUUUAUUUAUUAUAUUUUAUUAUCUUGUUGUAUUAUUUUUAGUUAUUUUAUUAUUAUAGUAUUUUAUUGUUUUAAUUGUUAGUGUUUUUAAUUAUUUUAGUGUUUUUUAUUUUUUUAUUGUAUUUGUAUUUAUUUUAUUUUUUUAUUCUUUUAUUAACACUGGGCUGAGUGGGUUGCUAGGAGACCAAGUGGGCGGAGCUUAGCCUUCUAAGUGGCAGCAAUUGGAUAAAAACAAUUAUUUCUCUCCCUCUAAUAAGGACUUUAUUUUUCUUUUCCUUUUGUUGUCGGAACCUAGGGGCAAGGAUGAUGGGUUGUGUUGCCAAAUUUCUAGGUUCUGGGGCUUGUACUUUUGUUGUUUAGGGGAGGAACGGAAACCAUUACUCCUUUAUAUAUAUAGAUAGUACAAUACUGGUAAUAAAUUACUAUAUUGUACUGUAUUGAUAUAUUGUAAUAUUAUUAGUAAUAUUACAUGUAAAAUAUAAUAUAUAAUUAAUAUUAUUAUUAUUAUAUUGUAUUAUUAGUAUUAUAUCGUAUUACAAUAUAUUAUGAAUAUUAUAUGUAUAUACAAUAUGUUAUAAUUAUUAUAUAUUAUUGUAAAUUAUAUUAUAUUAAAUUAUAUUCCGCCAUAUCUCCCCAAGGGGACUCAGGGUGGAUCGCAGUACACAUACACGGCAAACAUUCAAUGCCGUUUUGACAGACAGGACAGGACAGAACAGCAUUCAAUGACAUUAUCAGACAUAUUACAUAUAUACAAACAGACAGGAGAGGCUAUUAACAUACUCCAGCUUAUGGCUUCAUGAGAUUAUGAGAUUUUGGCCACAACGGGAGCUGUCACUUCAUCAUCCAUCAUCCGAGUCCUUUUUGAUGGUAGUACUUCCUCAUGCUCUUCGCACGCCGCUGGCAGCUUUAUGGUGUCGUAAAUUAAGUUAAAUUAUAUUGUAUUUUGAUUUUGCUGUAAGCCGCCCCGAGUCCCCUUCGGGGGAGAUGGAGGCGGCAUAUAAAUAAACUUAUUAUUAUUAUUAUUAUUAUUAUUAUUAUUAUUAUUAUUAUUAUUAAAUUAGCCUCCCCGCAUUAAGCGCUACCUAGAAUUCUCUACUUACAGACACAGCUGUUUUCAAGAUGCUCAGGUGGACAGCAAGCUAGGCUAUUAAAUGUUUGGGAGCUCAACUCCGACCCGGGCUUCGAACCAACAACCUUUUGGUCAGUGGUGAUUUAUUGCUGCAGGUUACGAUUCACCUUUGUGGUGAAUGCCACAACUGAAUGCACAUCAAGAUAUGCAACUGAAUGCACAUGCGCAUAGCACACCGGCCUCUGUUUGAGUCUUUCCAGCUCCGUCCGCAUCUGUUUCCGCAACGGCGCCAUUGUCCAACUCCGCUUCUCUUGCAUUCUCUUGGAUCGUCAAUAUAGCCCGAGCACUUCCUUCACAGAAAUCGACAUUUGUUCUCCAUUUUCAGUAAGGAAACGGACCACAACCCUGCAUGGCUCAAUAUCACACAGUCGUGUGAAUGCGCCAUUUUGGACGGAGGAAGAAAUACCAAACAUCCGUUGCGUAUUUCUGAAUUCUCCAAACACGAACACAGCUUGAAGAUUGAGUGGAAUGAGUCCCGAUAUCAGGGCUGAGGGCGAAACAAACAUUAGGAGGAUACUCCAAAGACCAGCGUUGGUUAAUAAGCAAAGCCAAAUUCAAUUGCCGGGAUCCAGAAGUCAAUUCAAAAGCCAAGAUCCAGAAGUCAAAGCCAAGGAAUGUCUAAAUUCUCAGAACAUUGCUUGAAGACUGAGUGAAAGAUCUCUGUAUGUGGAGAAUAGAGAGAGAUGUAUCUGAUGGACU
rnacentral:lncRNA from 1 species